CGCGUAGGUGGUAGUGUAAGUCUGAGGUGGAAUCCCAGGGCUUAACCCUGGAACUGCCUUGGAAACUGCAUUACUUGAGUCAGUGAGGGGAGGGUAGAAUUCCUGGUGUAGCGGUGAAAUGCGUAGAUAUCAGGAGGAAGGCCUGUGGCGAAGGCGGCCCUCUGGUGCUGGACUGACACUGAGGCGCGAAAGCGUGGGGAGCAAACAGGAUUAGAUACCCUGGUAGUCCACGCCCUAAACGGUGGGCACUAGGUGUAGGGCUCGUAAGGGUUCUGUGCCGAAGGGAAACCAUUAAGUGCCCCGCCUGGGGGGUACGGCCGCAAGGUUGAA
rnacentral:rRNA from 1 species